GUAAUGAAGAGAAUUGAUAAAUAAAAUGUAUCAGGGCUCAACGGCCAUAAACAUUACAAGUUGGAAAUCGCAAAUUCAACAAUGAGUGGUUUGGAAGGAAUUGAGCACAGCACAACACUAUUUACAUGCUAAAAUCACCACCGCUGGUGACAUCGCUGGUGACACGGAGUCAUAUCCAACCAGGUCAUGAGGGAUUCGAGAAUGGUGCUGCAAUGGAUAGCUGCUGUUUAUUUGUUUCCCCAUCGUUUCCAAUGACCGAAAAGAGCUUCUGGACAUCAGAACAGCAAUCACUAACCUUGAUUUGGAUGAAGAUUUCUAUUCUACUAUUUCAACGAGUCAGACAGGACAUACUGCUCAACUGGACCAGGCCCUUGUAAAAGGAAAAAAAACAGAGCAAGAGAGGCCGACGUGCAGGCACCCUGACAAAACUACGUCGGCGUGUACAUAAACCGCCUCUACCCUCCUUCCUAUUGGCGAACGUACAAUCACUGGAGAACAAACUGGUGAUUAUUUAUUCAAGCUGCUUCUGAUUGGCGACUCUGGCGUUGGAAAGUCUUGCCUCCUCCUCCGAUUUGCAGAUGACACAUACACAGAGAGCUAUAUUAGUACUAUUGGAGUGGACUUCAAAAUUAGGACCAUAGAGUUAGAUGGGAAGACCAUCAAACUUCAGAUUUGGGACACAGCUGGACAGGAACGGUUCCGGACAAUUACAUCCAGUUACUACAGAGGAGCGCAUGGCAUUAUUGUAGUGUACGACGUCACAGACCAGGAAUCCUUCAAUAACGUGAAACAGUGGCUCCAGGAGAUUGACCGUUACGCCAGUGAAAACGUGAACAAGCUGUUAGUAGGCAACAAAUGUGACCUGACGACAAAGAAAGUGGUGGACUACACGACGGCCAAGGAAUUUGUUGACAAUUUAGGGAUCCCCUUCUUGGAAGCUAGUGCCAAGAGCGCCACCAACGUGGAGCAGGCCUUCAUGACCAUGGCAGCUGAGAUCAAGAAGAGAAUGGGCCCUGGGGCCACAGCCGGAGGCUCGGAGAAGUCCAACGUCAAGAUCCAGAGCACGCCAGUCAAGACUUCCUCUGGAGGUUGCUGCUGAGGAACCCUCAGCCCCCCAAACGCCAUCCACUCAGACCCCUAUCUACCAAUCUCAAAAGUUACCUUGCUCCACAGGGAUAGGGAGAGAGAAAAUGGCAAGAGUGACAGAGAGGGAAGACAGAGUGGCCUUGAUUGUGUGUGCAGUUGCAAUACCUGAAAUAUGUCUCCCACCCCUAACAAGGUCAGCAAUAGGAUGCUAAGCCCAUCCACACCCACAGAAACACACUAACAUAAUGUGGGAUAUUUUUACAUAUUACCAAAACCUAUACCUAUCCAAAAUAAGAUAUGGCAACUUAUCCAGACAUUUUUAAGCAAGGUGACGAAUGAACCUUGCCCGACUCUUUAGUCCAGGUCUGGUACUUAAUAAUACAUUUUUCUACGAUGUUUGUGUUCUACUUAUUUCACUGUGGAUCUCAGCAUGACUUUGGCCUGAUCUCCUCAGAAGCUGAAUUCGGAAGCACUCCCAAUAAAGCGCAUUAUACAUGUCGGCAGAACUGAUUACUUUACCCACAAUGCAUCUCUAAUGCAGUCAUCAUGACUUAGCACAUCUGCUCACUGUAAUCAACCCAAAUUAUUUAGAGGAAAUGUCAUUCAAUGUCACGUGGUCCAACUUCAUAAUGUGGCCCCAAAUAAUGUGCCAGUGCCUUUAUGGCAGGAUGUGCGUGUGUGUGUAUAUAUAUGAUAUGUUGGCAUGUCCUUCCAGCCCUAAAGACCUUUUUGUAUGCCCAAGCUCUUAUCUCUUAUUUGGGUUUAUUCUAAUGAAUUUUGUAUGAUACUAGCAUUAGUUAACAUUCCUGUACAGACAGUAAUUGUUCUGUCGACAUACAUAAUAGCGCAUGGAGACGUGCUACAUUGAAAGUGUCAAUGACAUUUUUCCUCCGCCAGUGUCUCAACCAACAGCACAACAAAGUUUCACCAAACGAUGAAAGAAUUCUACCAACUGUAUAUAUUUAUACAUAUAUGUAAGAACUGAUUAGCUAAGCCUGUAGAGAAGCAAGUUAAAUGUAUGACAUCAUGAAAAGUAGCUGAACAUUUUAAUUUCGGCAUGUGAUUUGUGGCUGAGUACUUCACAUUUUUGUGGCACAAUGUCUAUUAAACAAUGAAGGAGAUCUUUAAUAAAC